UACGGAGGGUGCAAGCGUUAUCCGGAUUCACUGGGUUUAAAGGGCUCGUAGGCGGCCCUCUCAGUCGGAUGUGAAAUCCCCAGGCUUAACCUGGGAAUGGCAUCCGAUACUGGAGGGCUUGAAUUCGGGAGAGGGAUGCAGAAUUCCAGGUGUAGCGGUGAAAUGCGUAGAUAUCUGGAGGAAUACCGGUGGCGAAGGCGGCAUCCUGGACCGUAACUGACGCUGAGGCGCGAAAGCUAGGGGAGCAAACGGG
rnacentral:rRNA from 1 species